CAUGCAAGUCGAACGGAGCUUAGAGAGCUUGCUUUUUAAGCUUAGUGGCGAACGGGUGAGUAACGCGUGAGUAACCUGCCCUAGAGUGGGGGACAACAGUUGGAAACGACUGCUAAUACCGCAUAAGCCCACGGUACCGCAUGGUACUGAGGGAAAAGGAUUUAUUCGCUUUAGGAUGGACUCGCGUCCAAUUAGCUAGUUGGUGAGGUAACGGCCCACCAAGGCGACGAUUGGUAGCCGGACUGAGAGGUUGAACGGCCACAUUGGGACUGAGACACGGCCCAGACUCCUACGGGAGGCAGCAGUGGGGGAUAUUGCACAAUGGGGGGAACCCUGAUGCAGCGACGCCGCGUGGAGGAAGAAGGUUUUCGGAUUGUAAACUCCUGUCGUUAGGGACGAUAAUGACGGUACCUAACAAGAAAGCACCGGCUAACUACGUGCCAGCAGCCGCGGUAAAACGUAGGGUGCAAGCGUUGUCCGGAAUUACUGGGUGUAAAGGGAGCGCAGGCGGGAAGACAAGUUGGAAGUGAAAACCAUGGGCUCAACCCAUGAAUUGCUUUCAAAACUGUUUUUCUUGAGUAGUGCAGAGGUAGAUGGAAUUCCCGGUGUAGCGGUGGAAUGC
rnacentral:rRNA from 1 species